CGAUCACCGAAGUUAAGCAAUGUUGAGCCUUGUCAGUACCUAGGUGGGUGACCGCUUGUGAAUACCAGGUGUUGUAGG